UCAAAAGUCAAAAUACAAUCCAAGUCCUUCAAAACACAAAAACGCAGAAACCUCAUCUCUUCCAGUUCUAGGUCCAACCCAAACACAGAAAUGCACGCAAACCAAAGAAUCAAAAUCGGCGAAGCUAUGGAGUUCGAGUUGCAAUUCCUUCAACCACAAACGCCUCCAAAUUCCUAACUCGUUCCAAAUCUUCAUCUUUUAGUCAUUUCAAAUCCCUAACAUGCUCUAAAUCCCUAAUCUCUAAAUCCAAAUCCAAAUCCAAAUCGACGAAGCUUCUCUCGUUUUGUCGCCAAAUCCAAAUCCAAAUCCCUAAUCUCGUUCAUCGUUCCAAUCCCUAAUCUCUAAAUCUCUCUCCAAAUCGACGAAGCUUCUCUCAUUUUGUCUUCGUGUGAACAAGGAACUUAGGACAUCUGAAAAGAUUAAAGCGAUUACUAUUCCUAUGAGGUUGGAAAAGACCCAAGGUCAGUCAUGAGGGGAGCAUAUAACAUGUUUGAAGACAGUGGAGAUCCUAAAAUGGUAAAUUGCAUUUUUUGGCAAGACUGGUACUCUAACUAUUGGGAAGCGCCUAAAUACAAAACUAUUGAUCAACUUGCAAGUCUUCUUAUGGGCAAAGGAUUGAUUUUAAAUAUUACAGUAUGUACACAUUUCUUAGCUAGACCAAAAAAUGCAACAUAUAAGAUGCAAAUCCAUUCUUUAACACAG